rnacentral:rRNA from 1 species
UUUUACUAUGGUUUCGACUUAUUUCAAAUAAUUGAAAGUGACGGGCAAUAUGUACAUAUAUUAAUUUUUAUUUAAAAUUAAUAAAUUUAAUUAAUUUUAAUUUUAAAUUCUUUUUUUAAAAAAUUUUAUAAUUUUUUAAUUAUAUUUUAUUAAAUGUAAUACUUUUUUUCUUAAAUAUAAGUUGAAUUUUGAUUUGAAUUAUUAUUUUAUAUAAUAUUAAAAUUAUUUAUUUUAAAAUUAAAUUAAAACAAUAAUAUACAAACAUUAAAUUUAAGUAUUUUUUUAAGUUUAUUAUCUAUUAAAAAAUAUAUUCCUUUAAAAAAUUAAUAUACUGUCAAAUUUAUUAAAUUUGGAUAAAAAAUUUAAUUUUUAAAUUAUUAUUUUAUGUUUUAAUAGUAGGGUAUCUAUCCCUAGUUUAAA